UUUGGAUGUGUUUAGGGUCUGUGUUUAACCACAGCUUGUUUACAAGCUUGUUUACAGAUGGUGACUGAACAAGUCUAAUUUCACCUGCUUUGCAUGGUCAGUACGAAGUAUUGCCUUUGUGCAGCAACAUGUUUACUUAAACACUGUAAAUAAUAUCUGAAGCCGAUUGAAGAAAUUCUUUCUGUCAUUAGUAGUUCCAGCAUCAUCAUUAGCUAGUGCUCAAUCCUUUUCAGCCUUGACACCUUUCAAUUUUACAUUUCUGCAGUUCCAAUCCCCUGUUAAGCCGUUGGUUCCCCACUGGAUGGCAGUCCCUGCAAUGUUAUUCGCUCUGGGAGGAAAGUCUGACUUUAAAAGCAGCGUACUGAAAUCUCAUACUGCUUUACACAUGAAUAUGUACAAGAAAUAUUACAGCGACAAAAGGAGUAAAAUGCUGUCUAAAGAGCCACCAACUGCUCAUGUCAUCAUUGCUGUGUUUGGAGGCUCUGAAAGGCUAUGGCAACCAAAAUCUUAUACAAGACUGUGGAUACCUCUAAAAGUAAUGUUAUUGGAUGCCACGGUGUUUCAGUGUGCAGCUGUAGUUUCCAAGCUGAUCCUGCCCCUACCCCUUUCAGAGUUACUGAGACAGACUGCAUAAGCAAACUACAUAAGGGUCUUGGGCACUGUGGUCCUGAAAUUCUGAACCUAAAGGUGCAAGCAGAAGCCUCGGAGACCCUAAGAUCAUUAGUUACAAUAUUUGCUGUAGAAAUCAAUAAAAUUGAUCAAAUUAAUCAAUAAAAGAUUCUCCAGAAGGA